AAGGCAGCAGGGCAAAGCUAUGAGCUCAGCCGACAUCGAGCUCUGCUCCACAGGAAGUGUGGCUGGAAUCUCAGGCUUAUCCCAUCUUGGAGCAAGGGCUUUCCUGGGCACUAGGCAUUCCCCUCCCCAUUACGGGCCUGGUCCAGGGUGCCUGACGCAAGUUGCAAGCUCUCAAGAUUCUGGGAUACCACAAGGAUGGCAUCUGAGUCCACAACCUAGGGACAAAAUCCAUACCUCGACGGCACGAUGACCAGGGAUCCUCAGAACUGCUAAGAGAAAGAAGUGAAAUCUGACAAGAGAAACCUCAGAGCUAAUCAGAAGAAAGGAGCCCUGACAGUCUCAGGUCUGACACCAUUAAAAUCUUCUGUGCAACGACUUUAUUCGUCGAGGCAAAGGCAAAUGUGGGAGAGCUUCCUCUGACACCUGAAGGAUGUUGUGGGGAAAAAGCGAGACUUCUUCUGAACACUUCAUGACCAGGCAGGGGGGCUUCCUGCAGGGGCUCUGGAGUCAGCUCUGCCCUUGACCAGCUGGCUGACCUUGCUCAAGCUCUCGAGCCUUUCUGAACCCGAGCUUGCUCAUCUGUUUAAUGGGGACAAUGCUAUCUACCGCUAGCUCGCCACAGAGGUGAGGUUCUGGAGACCCGGGAGUCUGACAGGGUUUCUCCGAGAUAAAAUCAAGGCAUUGGCACGGCUGCUUUCCUUUCUGAAUGUUCUAAGGGAGAAUCCAUUUCCCUGGAGUGUUGAAUCUUUGAAUCCUCUCCAGCUUCUAGAGGUCACACAUUCCGUGGCUCACGGCCCUCUUACUCCAAGGCGGAUGCCAACAAUGGUGGCUUGUCUCCUCUUCAUGUGGCAUUGCUCUGACUUUCUCUUCUGAUACCUUCUUCCACUUCUAAGGAGUCUGAGAUGACCUCAGGCCCACCUGGAUCAUCUAGGAUGCUUUCUCUAUUUUGAAGUCAGCUGAUAACCACCUCCAUUCCAUCUGCAACUUUAAUUCCCCACUGCCGUGUAGGGUAAUAAAUUCACAGACCCCAGAGAUUGACAUGUGCACACCUUUUGGGGGGGGUGGUCAUUUUUUUGCCUACCUACCCCAAUAAGAGUUCCGUCACUGUGGGUUUUGCCAUCAAUAAA